CCUACGGGCGGCAGCAGUGGGGAAUAUUGGGCAAUGGGCGCAAGCCUGACCCAGCAACGCCGCGUGAAGGAAGAAGGCUUUCGGGUUGUAAACUUCUUUUCUCAGGGACGAAGCAAGUGACGGUACCUGAGGAAUAAGCCACGGCUAACUACGUGCCAGCAGCCGCGGUAAUACGUAGGUGGCAAGAGUUAUCCGGAUUUACUGGGUGUAAAGGGCGUGUAGGCGGGGACGCAAGUCAGAGGUGAAACCCACGGGCUCAACCUGUGGCCUGCCUUUGAAACUGUGUUUCUUGAGUACUGGAGAGGCAGACGGAAUUCCUGGUGUAGCGGUGAAAUGCGUAGAUAUUAGGAGGAACACCAGUGGCGAAGGCGGUCUGCUGGA
rnacentral:rRNA from 1 species